rnacentral:rRNA from 1 species
AAACAUCGCCUCUUGCAAACAUAAUAAAUAAGAGGUCCCGCCUGCCCUGUGACUAUUAGUUUAACGGCCGCGGUAUUUUAACCGUGCAAAGGUAGCGCAAUCACUUGUCUUUUAAAUGAAGACCUGUAUGAAUGGCAUAACGAGGGCUAAACUGUCUCCUUUUUCCAGUCAGUGAAGUUGAUCUUCCCGUGCAGAAGCGGGAAUACAAACAUAAGACGAGAAGACCCUAUGAAGCUUUAGACGCCAAGACAGAUCAUGUUAAUAACCCUGAAUAAAGGCUUAAACCAAGUGAAACCUGCCCGAAUGUCUUUGGUUGGGGCGACCGCGGGGCAUUGAAAAACCCCCACGUGGAGUGGGAGCACCCCUCCUACAACUAAGAGUCACAGCUCUAGAAAACAGAAAUUCUGACCAGCAAGAUCCGGCAAUGCCGAUCAACGGACCGAGUUACCCUAGGGAUAACAGCGCAAUCCUCUUUUAGAGCCCAUAUCGACAAGGGGGUUUACGACCUCGAUGUUGGAUCAGGGCAUCCUAAUGGUGCAGCCGCUAUUAAGGGUUCGUUUGUUCAACGAUUAAAGUCCUACGUGAUCUG